rnacentral:rRNA from 1 species
CGAACGCCGUNAGNCAAUACGGAGUAGGCAGACGGGUNGAGUAACACGUAGGGAACUAUCCUUUGGUUNCGGAAUAACUGCAGAGGAAACUUGGGCUAAUACCGGWACGCCUACGGGGGAAAGAUUUAUUGCCGAAGGAUGGCCCGCGNCNGAUUAGCUAGUUGGUGAGGUAAUGGCCCACCAAGGCGACGAUCAGUAGCUGGUCUGAGAGGAUGAUCAGCCACAUUNGGGACUGAGACACGGCCCAAACUUCCUACGGGAGGCAGCAGUGGGGAAUAUUNGGACAAUGGGCGCAAGCCUGACCCAGCCUGCCGCGUGAGUGAUGAAGGCCUUAGGGUUGUAAAGCUCUUUUACCUGGGAAGAUAAUGACGGUACCAGGAGAAUAAGCCCCGGCUAACUUCGUGCCAGCAGCCGCGGUAAUACGAAGGGGGCUAGCGUUGUUCGGAUUUACUGGGCGUAAAGCGCACGUAGGCGGAUCUUUAAGUCAGGGGUGAAAUCCCCAAGGCUCAACCUUGGAACUGCCUUUGAUACUGGGGAUCUCGAGUCCGGGAGAGGUGAGUGGAACUGCGAGUGUAGAGGUGAAAUU